AUGGAUGGAUGGACCAAUGGACAGACAGACGGAUGGAUUUAGGAUGAAUGACCUUAUAAAUAUAACAUUUAAAUGAGCUGAAUUUUGAAUACCAAUUUUGUGACAGAGCCUAUCAAUGAUGCUGAAUAAGGUAACUCUCCACGGAAGCAAACUUAAAUCCAGCUUUCAUCUUUGCCAUGACAUAUAAACAGUUAUAGUAGAGACUAAAUUAUUAUAGUUUUAAAACUUAAACUUAAAUAUUAAAUAAACCUUUAAAAUAUCAAAACAAAAUACUAUAGAGAUUAGAGGAAAUCACUGAUGUUUAAGAUGGGUGCUCUCAUUUUAUAUCAAUAUAAACAUGGAAGUAGUUUAAUCGACUAUUUUAGCUUUUGGUUAUCUCUAGUUUAGGGAACUACAUCAGUAGCUUGUAAGGACACAAGAAAAACAACCAUAUUAAAAAGUUUCUCUUGGGUUCUGCACCAGAGCAAAUGGGGUGAGUAAGGAAUUCUCUCUUACUUGGCAGUGACAUCUGUCAAGGAGUAGAUGGCAGGCAGAAAACAAGGGCAGUGUCCUUCCGGCAGCUCUGACAACUGAGCCAGCUGCCAGUGGUUCUAUGACAUCAUUAUCCUGAUGCCCAGGAACUAUCUAAUUCUGAAUAUUAAAUAUUCUACAUAUUCUAGAAAUCAAGGACCACAAACUUCACUAAUAUCCUUUAGAGUAUUUUAGCAUCUAUGCUGCCUAAGUAUUUAAAUUACUCUAAAAAUCAAAGUUGAUUUGACAGAGCUCAUAAAACUCAAGGAGCCUAAAAGGUAAUUAUCGAGCAUCUUCUAUUGAAAAACUUUCUCAUUGCAAAAUGUUUUGUCUUUUUGUAGCAUUUGCCUGUUGUAUUAAUAAGAUCACAAAUGAUAACCUGAAGGACAGGCAUUCCUUAGUCCCUGGCAUUUCUUCAUUUCUGUGGCUUCGUUCUGCUGCUUGUAACCUCAGUCUCAGUGCUUAUAAAAAUAGGAGUACCCAACUAAUUUUUACAUCUUUUGGUAAACGUGUGUGUGUGUGCGCGCGUGUGUGUGUGUGCAUGCGUGUGUUAUACACAUACUAUGUUGAUGCAAAUUUCAGAGGUUAACAUCAAAAUGCCUUCCUCUGUCAUGUUCUACCCUUUUUUAUUUCAAACAAGAUCCUUUCCCUGAACCUGACGCUCACUGUUUCAUCUGUACGCUCUAACAGCGGUUACAGUGCACACUGCUAGCUAGCUCCAGACACCCUCUGUCUCCACACUACAACAUUGAUUACAAACUCUAGUCUCAUACUUGAAAAGUAAGCAAUUUACCCGUUGACCCAACUACACAAUACCCCUUGGUAAGGUUUUUGGUUUUUUGUUUGUUCAUCUGUUUUGAGGGGUUUUCUUUUAUGCAGAUCUUUAUGCCCACAGACCUGCUAAUUCCAGAUUCCAAGAAACAAUAUUUGGACUAUAUACUUACAUCCUUAUAAUUUUGUUAAAGCAAUAUGUUCACAAACUAAAAAUAUAGCAUGAAAAUAUUUAUAGUGAACACAAUGUUUCUUUACCUAGCCUUCCCAUCCUCCAGGACUAUAUCCAAGAUGCAACUAAUUAGUUUCAGGCAUGUCCAACCUUUUGAUGUUGCAGUACAACAUUGUCAUCUACAAAAUUUGUACCUGAGAACCUGCAGUUGAAUUACCAAAAGCAUUCAUAGAAGAAACUCUCAAGUCUUAAGUAGUAUUACAGUUUUGUGCUGCUUUAUCUUCGUGCAUGAAGCCGGUACGGCAGUCUCUGGGUAUGCCUACCUGAUGUUCCUUUCAGUAACUAACUUCACACACAAUUUUCUUUAUAAUUUAGACAUGAAUUAUGUUUAUGUCCCUUAAGGAGAAAAUGAUGCUUUUUCUCUCUUAGGCUGCAUCGAGUUUCACAUGUUUUCUUUAGUAGUUUUGUCUUGUUUUUCUAUGUGGGUUCCUUGAACUCACUAACAUACCAUCAAUAUGGUUUCUGUCACAUGCCUUUGUAAAGUGUCACAUUACCACCUAGGUGGUAGUGCUGCACACCUUUAAUCACAGCACUCAAGAGGCAGAAGCAGGUGGAACUCUGAGUUCAAGGACAGCAUAGUACAGCCAGGGCUACCAGGCUACACAGAGAAACUGUGUCUC
rnacentral:lncRNA from 1 species